rnacentral:rRNA from 1 species
GACGAACGCUGGCGGCGUGCCUAAUACAUGCAAGUAGAACGCACAGUUUAUACCGUAGCUUGCUACACCAUAGACUGUGAGUUGCGAACGGGUGAGUAACGCGUAGGUAACCUGCCUGGUAGCGGGGGAUAACUAUUGGAAACGAUAGCUAAUACCGCAUAAUAUUAAUUAUUGCAUGAUAAUUAAUUGAAAGGUGCAAUUGCACCACUACCAGAUGGACCUGCGUUGUAUUAGCUAGUAGGUGAGGUAACGGCUCACCUAGGCGACGAUACAUAGCCGACCUGAGAGGGUGAUCGGCCACACUGGGACUGAGACACGGCCCAGACUCCUACGGGAGGCAGCAGUAGGGAAUCUUCGGCAAUGGACGAAAGUCUGACCGAGCAACGCCGCGUGAGUGAAGAAGGUUUUCGGAUCGUAAAGCUCUGUUGUAAGAGAAGAACGGGUGUGAGAGUGGAAAGUUCACACUGUGUCGGUAUCUUACCAGAAAGGGACGGCUAACUACGUG